GCAGUCGUGGCCCAGUGGUUAAGGCGAUGGACUAAAAAUCCAUUGGGGUCUCCCCGCACAGGUUCAAAUCCUGUCCACUGCG
rnacentral:tRNA from 1 species